CUUUUUUCCUCCCUCCCUCUCCCCCUUUCCCUCGCUCCCCUCCUCCCUCCCUCCCCGUCUUUCUUACCCCCUCCCUUUCUCUCUCUCUCUCUCUCUCGCUCGUUCCCUAACAUUAAAGAGAAAAUGCUGCUAUCCGUGACUUCCAGGCCCGGGAUUUCGACUUUUGGCUACAAUAGAAACAACAAGAAGCCAUAUGUGUCAUUGGCUCAGCAGAUGGCACCACCUAGCCCAAGCAACAGUACACCUAACAGCAGUAGUGGAAGCAAUGGAAAUGACCAGCUGAGCAAAACCAACCUAUACAUCCGAGGAUUGCAACCAGGCACUACUGACCAAGAUCUUGUCAAGCUGUGUCAGCCCACCUCCCCCAACCUGAUGGUCUUAGUGGAAAGACUGCUGUCCUUACACCUUGAAUAGAGAAGUUUAAUAUCUCUAUAGAUGUUAAUUAGAAGGCAUGAGAGAGCUGGCAGUGGGGAUGGAAGAAAGUGGGACUCGCCAAUCAAAUCAUGCACUUUGGAGACUUUCUGCUGCUGGAGAUAUUCCUUGGGAAUGGAGACCUCAAAUUAGCAGAUAAAGAAGGUGGAGAUAGGAACAAUUAUUCUGUAUCUACCCCAUGAAGACCCUUCGGAGUUCUUUUUAGUAGAUUUGAUUCAUGGAAUUGCCCAAUUAGGAAUGUUGGAAAAAUGGCAAGAGUGCACAGAUGUCCAGCUCAAAAAAUAAUAAGCAAUAAAAAAUAAAGUCUGGUGUAUAUAAAAAACUG
rnacentral:lncRNA from 10 species